GUUGAUCCUGCCAGUAGUCGUAUGCUUGUCUCAAAGAUUAAGCCAUGCAUGUCUAAGUAUAAGCAAUUUAUACUGUGAAACUGCGAAUGGCUCAUUAAAUCAGUUAUCGUUUAUUUGAUAGUUCCUUUACUACAUGGUAUAACUGUGGUAAUUCUAGAGCUAAUACAUGCUUAAAAUCUCGACCUUUUGGAAGAGAUGUAUUUAUUAGAUAAAAAAUCAAUGUCUUCGGACUCUUUGAUGAUUCAUAAUAACUUUUCGAAUCGCAUGGCCUUGUGCUGGCGAUGGUUCAUUCAAAUUUCUGCCCUAUCAACUUUCGAUGGUAGGAUAGUGGCCUACCAUGGUUUCAACGGGUAACGGGGAAUAAGGGUUCGAUUCCGGAGAGGGAGCCUGAGAAACGGCUACCACAUCCAAGGAAGGCAGCAGGCGCGCAAAUUACCCAAUCCUAAUUCAGGGAGGUAGUGACAAUAAAUAACGAUACAGGGCCCAUUCGGGUCUUGUAAUUGGAAUGAGUACAAUGUAAAUACCUUAAC
rnacentral:rRNA from 1 species